UGGCACACGUGGCCGUGCAGGUGACCCGAGGAGCCUCUUCCCAGGAGGCAAUGGGCAGGUGGCAAGCGGAGAGAGAAAAAAAUCAAAGCACCCACCACCUUCUUCCAGGGUUUCCACCUGUUGCGCAGGCGCGGCCAGGUGGGGCAGGCGGCCUGAGGCUGGUGGCAUUGGCGCAUGCGCGGGGCUCCCUGAUGCCACGCCCACCUGCCUCGGUGAGGGGCAGCCUGCCCCGGUGGUCUUGCGGUCCCCGGGGCUCCAGGUGGAGCCCAGUGCCAGCAAGUCAGAGGCGGCCCCCUGAGCAAGAUGGGCUCAGCCAAAGAGGGUUGUUUAAGGGGGCUCAGCGGAGAUUCCAAAACAAGAUCUGCAAGGCUUUGAAAGCAGCAGAGAAGCGGAAAGAACGGGAGGGAAAUUUCUCCCCGUGUCCAGAUGUACUUGAACAAUUGGAAUCUGGGAUGUAAAGUUGAAAAACUACCAAAUUAAGAGUUUUCUGACUUUUAAAUUUUAUGACAUUAGAUUCUGCCAAGAUUGCCUGAACAAUGUGUGCUCUUUCGCUGUGCCAUUCUGAACUUACAAAAUUUUUUAUCUUUGGACAUCUCUGGUCUUAUCUUUGAUAACAAGAAAUCUGGCAUCAGUUGUAAUAGUUUUUAAAUAUUUACAGUGUUCAAUAGCAAGGUUCCCCAAGAUGUAUCGAAAUGGGACUUGACUAAAAGUUUAUAUUUACAAAUAAGGAAUGUGUGUGUGUGGCAAUGCAUGGGCUGAUCCUGAAGUGGUAAAAUUAAUAGAAAUUAUUCUGUAUGAGGAGAAAGACAGAAUUUCAUCUUUUUUUUAAAGUUUAUUUUGAGAAAGAGAGAGAGAGCGCAUGUGAGCAGGGGAGGGGCAGAAAGAGAGGGAGAGAGAGAAUCCUAAGCACAGGGCUGGAAUUCACCAACUGUGAGAUCAUGACCUGAGCCAAAAACAGGAGUUGAACACUUAACCAACUGAGCCACCCAGGCAACCCAAGAAUUUCAUCCUUUUUUUUUUUUUUAUUUUUUAAUGUUUAUUUAUUUUUGAGAGACAGUGAGAGCAUGAGCAUCAGAGGGGCAGAGAGAGAAGGAGACACAGAAUCCGAAGCAGGCUCCAGGCUCUGAGCUGUCAGCACAGAGCCCGAUGGGGGCUCGAGCUCACAAACCGCGAGAUCAUGACCUGAGCUGAAGUCAGAUGCUUAAUGACUGAGCCACCCAGGCACCAGCGAAUUUUAUCUUUUAAUGGUAAAAGGAAAGUUGCCGUCACCAAGGUGGUGACAUAGGUUGUUCUUGACUUUGCUCCCCCUCAUAAGAAGAACAACCAAUAACUAUUCAAGAAGACACCUCAGGGACUCCUAGAACCUGGAGGUGAGGCUAAAGCACCCCUGUACUUCAGAGACCAAGAUGCACUGUGUUAUAAGGGUAAAGAAAUGGCUACACGUUGACCAUGUUGCUCCCCCCCAGGCCAGGGCCACAUCACACAGAGAGGUAGUCUCUGAGCCUCCAGGUGUCUGGCAGGAAAAGAGAACCCAGGAGCCACAACCAGCCCCCACCAGCAUUGUGAGUCCCUCCAAGGGAGCCCCAACUCUAACCUUGCACCACGGGGAUUGCGGGGCAAUCUGCUUAAUCACUGGGAAUCUGACUGUGAUGGAGAAAGGGGGGCAGGACUUGCAACAACCAGCACACAGAUCUUCGCAGACCAAGUGCACGCCUGCGGUGCCUCUGUAAUAAUCCCCAAUUGCGGCUUUGUUCAUCUGCAAGUCCGGGGUGCACUCUGACCAGGGGGCUUAGCAGGGAGCCGAGCUGCCUGACCCUGAUCCCCAGAUGAGAAGUUGCGCCAGCCCUAGAGCCCAGUUUGCCCACGCCCAGGCAAAGUGCUGAGUCACAGCC